CAACCCUCAGACACCUGUAUGUCUGGCGUUGGGGCAUUCUAUAGCGCUUGCUAUAGGCCUUGAAAAUCAGUGGCAGGCCCUUCACAGACCCUGAACGCAGUAAUUUUCUCUUCGUUUCCGGUGUCUUGAAGGCUGCUUAGCCGUCAAACCUUCAAAAAGUUUUCAGAA
rnacentral:misc_RNA from 1 species